rfam:Triticum aestivum genome assembly, contig: Triticum_aestivum_CS42_TGACv1_scaffold_487188_6AS
AUUAUACUCCCUCCGAUCCAUAUUACUUGUCUUAGAUUUGUCUAGAUAUGGAUGUACAUCCGUAUCCCGACAAAAAGACAAGUAAUAUGGAUCGGACGGAGUAGCAU